rnacentral:misc_RNA from 1 species
UGGGUUAGACAACGGUGGAAAGCUCCAUCUCUGGAGCGGUCCACCGUUGUCUAACCCAGGUAAGGUUCUUCGCGUUGCGUCGAAUUAAACCACAUGCUCCACCGCUUGUGCGGGCCCCCGUCAAUUCCUUUGAGUUUUAAUCUUGCGACCGUAAUCCCCAGGCGGGGUACUUAAUGCGUUAGCUGCGGCACCGCAGGGGUCAACGCCCGCGACACCUAGUACCCAUCGUUUACAGCGUGGACUAC